rnacentral:rRNA from 1 species
UCUAUGGGUAAGGACGUGAAAUACGAAAUAACAAGGGAGAGACUUUGAACUUGUUAAUCCUAACUGAAAAGGGUGAAUUAAAUAGUUAAUUGAAACAUCUUACUAAACUAUGAGGAAUACAUCAACUGAGAUUCCGUGCGUAGCGGCGAGCGAUAACGGAAUUGUCUCUAACAGUUACUUAAGAUGAUUAGACAUCUAGACUAAACCCCUAUAGACACCUAUAGAGAAAGUACCGUGAGGGAAAGACUCAUAAUUGGUUCUAAAAGUUACCUUUUGCAUAAGGGGCCUGCAAGAUAAGAUUUGGCAAGCUUAAGUAUUUAAUGAAGGCGUAGUGAAAGCAAGAGAAAACUCGUCAGUCAAAUCUCCCGAAACCAAGUGAUCUAACCAUGGCCAGGUAGGAUUAUAUUAAAUACUCCUGACCGAACCAGUGAUUGUGGCAAAAAUCUUGGACGAGCUGUGGUUAGGGGUGAAAUACUAGUCGAACUUGGAUAUAGCUGGUUCUCUACGAAACUUAUCUUAGUAAGACAUUCCAAGUUGAUUCAUCCCCAAAUUAAGGGGCUUGAAUUAAUGGUUUAGUCAGACUAUGGCUAUAAGGCCCUUAGUCAAGAGGGAUAAGCCCUAACCAGAAAUUAAAGUCGCUAAUACAGAUUAAGUGUGUAAAGAGAGUCCGACUUAGACAAACAGGAAGUAGGCUUGGAAACAGCCAUCUGCACAGGAAAACGUAAAAGUUCACUGAACGAGCUAGGAAACUUUAAGAAUUAAGACGGCUAAAUCUGUAACUGAAAUUCUGGAAGCCAUAAGGCGACCUUAAGGACGCAUAAAUUGGUUUGGUAGUAGAGCGUUCUGUAGUUAUAUACCUAGAGAUAUAAACAGAAGUGAUAAUGCAGGCAUGAGUAGUAAAAGAUUCAUUCCCAAAUAAAAUGUUUAUACAACUUCUAAGAGCACUACGCUCAAUGGAUUAUAAUUAUUCAACUGUUCAGGAAAAUUAUUAGAAGCCCAUCCCAAGAUGAGCUGUUUUUAUUUAUAUUGUUAUUUAUGGGACUUAGAUCUAGGCAUAAUUUCUUUUAAGGAACUAGGCAAAAGAAGAUCUCGACUGUUUACCAAAAACAUAGCUCUCUGCUAAAGAUUUGCUGAAGUAUAGAGGGUGAAUUCUGCCCAAUGGUUGUAAAGGGAAACUGAGGACUAAUGUCUAAAGCUAAACCCAACUGAAUGGCCGCGGUAACUCUGACCGUGAUAAUGUAGCACAAUAAAUAGCCAAUUAAUUGUUGGCGGGUAUGAAUGGAACCACGAGGGUCUUACUGUCUCAAGAGGAAAGCCUAUGAAAUUAUAAUUGUAGUGAAGAUACUACAUAAACAUUGUAAGACGAAAAGACCCUAUCGAGCUUUACUGGAUAUCUAUAGCGUUAAUUUAUAAUGUUCGUUACUAAGUAAUCUGAUUAUAAGUUAAUAAAUUUUGUUGGUAGGACAGUUUAGUUGGGGCGACUACCUUUGAAUAAGUAACGAAGGCGAGCUUAAGGUAUUUAUUUAAAUUUCAUUAGCCUGACAGUGAGGGGGACACCCCUAGCUGGCACAAGGACCCCGCGGGGUUCCUAUGUGGGCAAUAGUGACCCGAUAUAAUUAUCUAAAAUUAAAAUAUCGAAAGCGGAUAAAAGCUACCGUAGGGAUAACAGCGUAAUAUUGUCGGAGAGUUCUUAUCGAGGACAGUGUUUGCGACCUCGAUGUUGAAUUGCGGUGCCCUGGUGCUGUAGAAGGUACCUUAGGUUGGUCUGUUCGACCAUGAAAACCGUACAUGAUUUGAGUUCAGAGCGUGGUGACACAGCUCGGUUUCUAUCUACAAUGUUCAAUCCUAACUUUUCUGAUACCUAGUACGCAAGGAAUGGUAUCAGCGAUGCUCGACUAUAUAGGUCCCAUCGAAAUACUUAACUUCUGGCUGCUGCAAGGAAGGAAUAAAAAGGUUUAAGGAUUAAUCAGGU